AGCGAACGCUGGCGGCAGGCCUAACACAUGCAAGUCGAACGAAUCCUUCGGGGUUAGUGGCGGACGGGUGAGUAACACGUGGGAACGUGCCCUUUGGUUCGGAACAACUCAGGGAAACUUGAGCUAAUACCGGAUGUGCCCUUCGGGGGAAAGAUUUAUCGCCAUUGGAGCGGCCCGCGUCUGAUUAGCUAGUUGGUGAGGUAAAGGCUCACCAAGGCGUCGAUCAGUAGCUGGUCUGAGAGGAUGAUCAGCCACAUUGGGACUGAGACACGGCCCAAACUCCUACGGGAGGCAGCAGUGGGGAAUAUUGCACAAUGGGCGGAAGCCUGAUGCAGCGACGCCGCGUGAGGGAUGACGGCCUUCGGGUUGUAAACCUCUUUCAGCACCGACGAAGCGAGAGUGACGGUAGGUGCAGAAGAAGCGCCGGCCAACUACGUGC
rnacentral:rRNA from 1 species